GUAUAAAGUGGCGAACGGCUGAGUAACACGUGGGCAACCUGCCCUUUGCACUGGGAUAGCCUCGGGAAACCGAGGUUAAUACCGGAUACUCCAUAUUUGUCGCAUGGCGAAUAUGGGAAAGCUCCGGCGGCAAAGGAUGGGCCCGCGGCCUGUUAGCUAGUUGGUGGGGUAGUGGCCUACCAAGGCAAUGAUGGGUAGCCGGGUUGAGAGACCGACCGGCCAGAUUGGGACUGAGACACGGCCCAGACUCCUACGGGAGGCAGCAGCC
rnacentral:rRNA from 1 species